rnacentral:piRNA from 1 species
UCCAUGGGCUACAGAAUGGAUGUUGUGUUC